GAGUCAUAGCAUCGGAUUUCUCAUAUGACGAUGGUUUGUGUGCUUUAACAGUUUGCUAAACGUCUUUGUUUUAACUUUCAUCUGCGCUAAGUAACUUUAGCUCGUAAGCUAACCUGUUCAGAUACAACAUACCAUAUGUAUUUUCACUGUCUCAAACUCAAUCGUGUUGCUGUCACAGCACCAUUAGGUCUCUGUUGUUACCUUACGUUUAUGGAUUAUAGUUUAAUGUGCUUAUCUGGUACUGGCCCCGACUCAGUACAUGCUAUCAUGACAGACAGUGAUCUCAACACUAGAGUCUAAUCAGAGCUGAAAAAAACACUCAGUCUUCUCACUUCCACCCGGGCAAGUCUUUUCCCCCCGGAAAGUCGCACAAUCGGAUCGGGCUUGAUGUGUAUAGUCAGGCGCUUCAAAAUUUGCCUCUGAAUAUUUCGUGAUUUCGCGUUGUAUAUUUGUGUCGGUUCCGGUGUGUAAGGACCUUAAAGCUAGAGUUCAGAUUUUGACAGUUGCCAAUCAUUUCCUCUUGACUGAAUAUGUCAGGAAAUAUGGUCACAGGCAGUGAUUUUUGGAUGCGAUUCUGAGACCAUGUGGUGAUUUCCACUACAGAGUCUUGUUUUUGAGCUGUGGAUUCAGAACAAACUGGUUGGCUGUAUUACUCUGAGGAAUUCACAAUAAUAAUAAUGUGUGUCACGGUCCAGAGUUAAACAAAAAGGUAAAGGACCCAAAAUGCAGAACAAAAACAGGAUUUAUUUAAAAAGAAUGAAAUAAAAAAACAACAAAAAGAGAAAAAUCCAAAAGGCAAAAUCACAGGGGGCCACUGGUGACACAGGCAUAUGCACACACCAACAAACAAUGAACCAAUGAGGACAGAGGGGAAGACAGGGACUAUAUACACACUGGUUAACGAGCAACAGGUGAGGCAAACGAGACACAGGUGAGGCUAACGAGACACAGGUGAAACUCAUGGGUGAUUAACGAAGGAGGGAAAACUAGUGAAGUUAAACCAGACUAGAAACACAAGGAAUCAACUACUACAAAAUAAGACAGGAAAUACUGAAAACUGAUUUAAAGAAUAAUACACUUUAAAAAAAGGAUGGAAACAGGGAAAACACAAAGAAAAUACAUUUAGAUAAUAAAACCAGGCAAAACUAAAUUUACAGAACAGAUAAUGACAAAACUAUGUGGUGGUUCCCACUACAGAGGCAUGCCUUUUUUUUUAGCACAUGAGCACAAAUAUUUAUAACUUUAACAUUUAAUGUAUCAUCAAUUUUUAAAGAUUUUAGAGUUGUAAUGAUUUGCAGAUGAUCAAAAACUGUUUUUAUCAGCUUUUCUACAGCUACCAAACUUUUAAAAAUGGGACUCUAUGACGUAAAUGUACUUUUCUGCUUUAAAAUGAAUUAAAAAAUUGACAUUUUGAGUUGAACUCAUGGUGCUCUCAUUCUGUUUGUUCCCUUUUUUGGCGCAUGAAUGUUACUCAAAUCUAAACUCAGUGUUGGCCUCUCUUUAACCUUGUCUGGUAAAUAAAAUAAAAGAUGUGGGGACAGAUUCCUUUCAAAUGUUGACUCAUUUAAACUUGCUUUUUUCAUUCACUCCACAUACUUGAACUUUUAUAUCUCUCUUUGAAUUCCAGCAUGAUGUAUUUUUUUAAUGGGAACAUUCCACCUCAAAGAUUUUGAUUAAUUUUAUCAUGUUUUUGCAGCUUCAACGGUAUUAAUCAUUAGAAUGCAAGAAGAGAAAAUGCAAAGCAGUUCUGGGGAGGCUCAGCAACAUCCCUUUGGCUGCAAAUGGUUUCCAACUUGGCUGUCGAAAUCAAAUUUUUCACUUUGGCUCAUUUGUGAAAGUCACAAAGAUAACACAAAGUAACCAAUCGGUGCUGUUAUGAUUGCACAGGAGGUCAAAAUAAUGAUUAAAUUUGCAGAAAAUGACAGUGACAGAGUCGCUUUAGAUCAGAGCAGAGCUCUCCGGCGGUCUAAGGAGCCUCUAAUCCUCCAACAUUCCUCAAAGAGGCUAAUGCAUUGCUUUUUAAGGUGACAUAAAUGCAUCCGCCAGCAGUAUCCAACUUGUGCAUCUUUCUCCCCCCGCUUCCUCAGGCUGGUAGAGCUGUUAAACGACCACCCCGGCGACAUGCAUCAAACCGAGCCUAAUUGACGCAGCCCGACACGCGUGACAUUGAUAUUCAUGGCGAUCACGCAGGUCAUUCGGAGGCGUAGCAGUGGGGGGAAUUAUGCAGAAAGUGCAGAGAGAGGCAGAUUUGUGGGACUAUACUGAGCGUCUGGGACGAGAAGAUGCCCUUGGAUCGCCCCCCUCUUUCGCGGACUCCCAGGAGUGUGUGUGUUUGUCUGUCUGUGUGCGUGUGUGUGUGCUUAUGGAUUCAAGCCAAUUUGUCAUCAUCUCAAUAUGUCUUCAUGCUGAUGAAGACCAAAAUACCAGGUCAUGAAUAUGUAACGACAAGAUGAGGACGGCCACUUGGAGAAUUUGUCCUUGUCGGAGCAUCUUUACGCCGCAAUCAGACAGUGUGUCUAGUUGGAGGAUUAGCAUCUAAUAAUAAACAAACAGCUAUAAUCUGAUUCUCAAAUAUAUGUACAGGAGUGACAAACAAAGGGGGAAAGAUGACGACUGCAAGAUAAACGUGCCACGACAAGAACUUUCCCUGCUCCUGAAACUUUUUCCGAGCCACCAAAGCGCAUCCUUAAAUACAACACAGACCGUCAGGUGUUUUCUUAUAAGGAGUAAAAAAAAAAUAAAUAAUGAAUUUGCAUACUGUGUUUGACAGGAUAUCUGAGCAGAAAUGUAUCAGCGUUUCUGCAAAUGGAAGCGGCUCCAGUCGCCACAGUCUGCUCAUGUCGUUCCCUAUCUAGGUCACACAAACUGGGAGAGUGGCGAUGCUAAAUGGCAUCAUUACUCCGCUAAGUGCUCACCCUCUUUUGACUUUUUCGGCAUGUCUCUUGUACGGAAUCAAAAUGCUUUUUUUUUUUCUUUUUACUUAGGAUGGCAAUUCGCUGAGCAGUGAAAUGAAAAAAAAAAAAAAGGAAGGAGGGUGGGGGGAUGAAACAAGUAGGGCACAAAGUCUAAGUCUGAUCUGAGAUUCUGGAGGCUUUGCACUAUUAUCAGAGGAUCAAGCAUCGCAGUCUUUGAUCUGGGAGUGAUUUGGGGGGAAACUCUCGAGUGAGGUCAUGGAGACUACAGAGGAGGGCUGCUAUCAAAGUGAUUGGGUUAUGAAUGGGAGCACAGUGUUCACAGGAAAUACCAAACCAGGGAGGAUUCAUGCCUCUGAAUCAUCCACAAAACAAAAUCUGGCGACGCCGAAACGGACACUGAUGUCAUGAGGGUUGUGUUUCGCUCAUUUGUCUGGUGAAACUGAGCUAUACAUUUGAGAGCAUUUCUGAUGCCUGUCGUCAUGACUAAUAAAGACAUGAAAUAAGAUCAAAGUACGUCUUAGAAGUGUUUUUGAAGAUGCGACUCGAGUUUACAAGGGCAGCUAUUGCAAAAUAUUUGGGGGUCUUAUUGGACUUGACUCACAGACUAAUUGUGGGUCAUUCAGAGGGAAGAUUUACUCAGAAGUUUUACAAUCUGAAUAUAGAUAAUUUCACAUUUAGAGGAGUACAGCUAGAUAGAAAAUACAACAAAUGUAUAAUGUUUUACAUUGUACUGAAACUUGGCUAAGCUUAUAAGCUUAGGCUAUGUUCACACUGCGGGUCAAUUCCGACUUUUUAACCAUAUGUGACACUUAUCUGAUGUUUUCAUGUAAGUGUGAACAGUGCAAUUCUGAUUUUUUCAAAUCUGACCCAGGCCUCUUUUGUAUGUGGAUAUAAAUCGGAUAUGUAUCUGAUGUGACUGCAGUGUGGACGCUCAGGCGUGUUCAUCCGAUCUAUUCGUCAUCAAUAUGCAACAAAUGUCACUGUUGUUCGACAAAACAAACAGGCGAAAAAAGAUUGGAUUUAACAAAAAAUCCGAAUUGUGCAUCAUAACCUGCAGUAUGAAUGUAGCCUUAGACGCUGCACCAGGUGGCACUUCAAACAUGAGUGAAAAUGAAAUACUUGUAUACUGAUGUGUUCAGGGUCCGCCCUCAACCAAGAUUAUGAAAUUUCAAGAAGAUUGAACAUUGUAUGACAGAGUGACAUCAACUUUCUGUUUCAUGGCGAGACAUCAAAGUUAGAGUUAAUGAUGCACGAGGUACAAAAGCCUUAUAUGUACAUUUUAUAGAGGAUCAAACACGAAACAUGAGUUUCUUGAUGCAAAAUGUCAAAAAUUAGAUCAGCUGGGACCACACACUUGGAUCAAAACUCAAGUUUUCAUCAGCAUGUAAUGUUCAAUGUGUUUCCAAAACACCAAGCAUAUUUACAGUCACUAAGUUGAAACCUGGAGUAACAAGACCCCUUUGAAGCACAACAAAAAGGUCUUAUUUUGAAACCAGACACAAAAAAUUAGUCAACACAUUAUCGUUGGUGUAGGUGGGGCUAACUCUAAAACAACACUUUUGAGGGCGAUGAAAGGAAGUUCGUGCUCAACGCUGCUAAUGAUGCAAGGCAGAUGCAACAGAUGAAAACCCUCAGUAUUAAACUUCCAUGAAUAUUUCAACACUAAUAUCUGUACAUCAUCUACCACUGAUAUUUUUGAGCCAGUCCCAUGACUUUAGCUUUAAAGCUCGUUGAGUUGCGUCAUUGGGAAUCGGCCUCCCAACCAGAUUACGGUUUUACCUAACAUGAGAGAAUUCCCAGGCCGGAUCUAGCAUGAUUGAAGCUAGGUUAAGGAAAAUAAGGAGGAAAAGGCUUGAGAUGGGAGACAAAGAAAAAAAUGGACCAAAAAAAUUUCAAAAAUUAAAAAAAAUAAUAAAACAUGCAGACUCAAAAUAUCUGUAGAAAAAUAAGAGGUACAUGGAAACAAUAAAUAAAUAAAAUAAAAUAGAAUAAAAAAUAAAUUAAUUAAAAAGCCAGCAACACUUGUAAAAAUAAAUAGUUGAUGGCACCGAUUUUGAUCUUUGGGUUUUGUUAAAAAAUUUAUGUAAACUACCUUCACUUCUUUGUAUAUUUUUUUAUGAUGUAUAUUUGAUAUCACUGUUUUAUAUAUUUUUUUAUGUCAGUGAUGUUUAUAUUGUAUAAUGUGUGAAACGUGUCACUUCCUGUUGUACCGUCACACACUGAAGAAGACUUGUAAGUCGAAACAUGAUAAAUACUAUAAAUUUUAGAUUCGUAUGGAGGAACAGGUGUUAAUAUAUAAGAAAUAAUGACGUGGUUAAAAUGUAUGAAGACGGGGGUAUAAAUGUGAUUGAUUUUGUUGUUAUGAAUUGCGUCUUAAAACUAAAAUGGCUGAAAUCUUUUCAAAUAGGGAGUCAUUUCGGUUCACUGUUCCUAAUUUGGUUUUCAAAAAAACUGGGUGGAAUAGAUUUUUUACUACAAUGUGAUUUUGAAUGCAAAUUGUUCCCGGUUAAACUCUCUGAUUUUCAUCAACAAGCCCUGCUCUACUGGAAAUUACUUUACUGUCAUAAUUUUACUCCACACAAUACACCAAUCUGGAAUAAUAGAUACAUAUUGAUUAACAGAAAUUCAGUUUAUAAGGAUGAAUGGAAUUCAAAAGGAGUCUGGGCUGUUGCUCACUUGUUAGAUGACAAUGGGAAUAUACAAAAAUGAUGAAUGCAAUACCAAUCUCUCUGAGGGCGAUGGUGAGAGAAGAUGUUUGAUAUUCCACAGUCUCCCAAAGAUUGAGACAACUCUACAUUGGGAGGUUAGACUUUUGUGAUCGCAAAUGUAACAACAAAGCUCUCAGCAAUAUGUUGGUAAACGAAUAUUACCCUAGCCCAACUAAAAGGAUGUGUAUUUUGAAGCAAUUUGAUCUGGAUAAAAUUAAAAAGAUAAGAAAGAAUUAUAUCUCCUUGCCAUUACCUCCCAAGGCAAAAGAAGUCCAUUUCAAAAUCCUGAACGAAAUCUAUCCAACAAACGAAUUUUUAAGAUUAAGGUUUAACUUUGAAGGAAAUAAUUGUGUGUUUUGUGAUGUGGACGUUGAAAACCUGUGUCAUGUUUUUUUUUUUUCACUGUAGUGCGGUACAUCCCUUCUGGAGUAACAUGUAGAGCUGGGGCCUGUUCUACGAAGCAAGUUCAACCGAGCGAGGUAGCCUUGGAGCUACCUCGCUCAACUUAGCGCGUUACCCAGCGGUCUCGCUAAACAGUCUUACGACGCUGGUUAUCAACCUCGUAAGUGGAUCCAGCUUUGCUAUGAGCGCGUGCACGCUUGUAAGGCGGAGACCGCCACAUCUGACCAAUUGCGAACAUGGACCAGUCUGGAGCAUCAGAGCAGGCCGGAGAGCGAAGGACAGCGUACUUUACAAACGAGGAGCAGGAGACGAUCAUGAGAAAGUAUGAAGAAUUCAAAUCUAUCAUAAACCUUAAAAGCAACACCGUCGCCGCUGCAAAAGCUCAGAAGGAAUGCUGGCAGAAAAUUGCUGACAGUCUUAAUGCGGAAGUAUAGUGCGCAAAAAAUCUUUGAUGCCAUUUUAUACCCGAUGAGUUCAAUCUGGAACCUAACCUGCCCCGGAGCAGGUUAGCCAUUCAGCGUACAUUGCCAUGGACACUCGCCUCGCAAGGAAGUGAACCCGCGUCGUAGAACAGGAAACUCCGAAUUUACCCUCGAAGUUACCUCGCUAAGCAGUAAUCCUGCUUCGUCGAACAGGCCCCUGGUUGCAGUCCAAAAACAUUGAUUCCCCUUGCCAGCAGAAACUAUUUUGUUUGGUGUUUUUAACGAGGAUAGGAACUUGGAUUUUGCUCUAAAUGCUUUGCUGCUUUUGGGGAAGUUCUUCAUUCACAAGUGUCGAUAUUUUAAAACAAGACCAUGCCUACCUCACUGGAAGAAUGAGCUGCUACUUUUUUGUAAAUCCUUAAAACUUGUUACAGACAAUAGAGCCCUACGCCUAUUUUCUUUACUAGAAAUGUUUGAAUUGAUAUAGAAUGGCCUCUAACCUUGAAAUUGUGUUAUUUUUUUCUCUUUUGAUGUUAUUCAUGCUCAAUCUAAGGCAAAUAUUCUAUAAUUUAUGAUUCAAUUAAAAAAAAAAAAAUUGUACGUCAAAACCGGUGUGUGAAGCGCCUGUACCAGUUAGUCGUUUAAUAUCAUCCGAGGAAGGAUGCAAGCUUUGAAAAAUAUGAGAUAUUUGUGAAAUGAUUUUUAAAUGUUUGAGGUUUAAUGGUCUGCAAGAAUCAAAUCCAGCUAAGACUGUAAAAAAAGAAAAUUAUUAAAGAUAUCCUUCAGACCAAAGUGCUACUUUUUCAGACCUUGUCCUGACAAAAUAUUUCCAGGUUGAACUUUUUCACUUAAACAUGAGAGGUCAGACUGAUUGAGUUAAGAGCUGCAAAUCCCAUUCAACGCGGCUUUUAGAAAUCAAGUAGCUCAGCCUGGCAUCUGCGAAAAAGUCAGAGGUAACACAACUUAAACACCACCCCUGCUAUGACUGGACAGAGGGACAAAAUUACGUCUAAUGCUCCAGCUGUAUGAAAGUGCUUCGAGAAAGUGUAGAAGCUCCCCGACGGUGCAAACAGCCACCAAUUUCUGUCAAAAUCUCAUUUUUCACUCUGGCUUGUUUGUGGGAGUUGGAGCUUCUCUAAUGCGCCGUCUAAUGGGCAGUAAGGGGGUGAAAGCAUGUGUGAAAUGUGUUUUUGCAGAAACAAUAGGAGUUGUGCAGGAGUGGGAGAUGCUGUUUGUUUGUGACUUUAUCUUCAAGUAGAAUUGGGAGUAAAAAAGCUUUUAUGUGGAGUAUUUUUAAAGGAAGACUCUCCAAAGCUGACACCUUUUGCUUUCAACUACCACCACUCAGGGGAUCCUCCUCAUAUAUUCUUAUCAGGCGAAAGUGUUACGCACAGAUGACACAGAGGUGAAACAUCGCAACACAAGGGAGGCCGCCGUGUCUGUUAAAGAGUGAAAGGAAUAGAUGUAGAAGUUAAUAGAAGUGGGAUUCCUUUGCAGCAUAGUGGGAUCUUUUCUGCUCUGCGCAGCUCUGCGGCACAGAGGCCGCCGUCUGCUUACUGUCAGCUCUUAAGCGUUCUAAAAUUGGGAAGUGUUUACAGUGAAGGGCCGUAGUCUUUACGAGGCCAUAUGGGCCCGGCCGAGUCUGUUUCCAGUCAGACCCUUUCGACACUUAUCUGCUUUCACUUUUCUGCUCCGACGUGACGGAUGGUCCCCGUCGGUGGAUCAAGGAGCAUAACUGGUAUCACCAGGAAGUGUGCAUUACAAUCAAACACAUGGUGUCCAUUUACCUGUUGUAGAUCUUGGCGGGGGUGUAAAUGAAACGCAGGUGCUGUAGUUGGCUAAAUAUAAUGCAGUUUUGAGAUGAAAUCUAGCACUGUAGCCGUUUGUGUAUUAAAGCUCACUUAGAUAGUACACACAGUUGCAUAGAAGCUUGAAAGAGGUAAAAUAUGAUCCACUAAGAGAGCUUUUUUUCCCCAAAAUAAUCAGUUCUUUUCACUCUCCUUAUCUGCAUUUAAUAAGAAUUUAGUCUAGUGGACCAGAUUUUUAUUUUUGUUUUUGGCUAUUUGAACCCUUAAAGACCCACUCCGAUGAAAAUCACGUUUUCCUUUUGUUUACAUGUUCAUAUAGCAUUUAUUUGUGAAGCUACAGGACAUACCAUUAGAAAACUCAGUGCAAAAUUGCAUUUCUGGGUAUUUCUGCAUAUAAAUUGCUGUGAAUCUCUGGCAGACCCAAACGGCAGGCUCAGGCAGAGUGAGAUUUCCUACAUCACAAAUCCAAGCUCCGCCCCCCGGAGCCCUACUAUGCAAGCCAGGCUCAGAGCAAUAGAGAGCGGAACAAACGUGUGCGUUAGCGGAUUGCAAUGCUCGUAAGAAAGCUAAUCAUGAUAUUAGCUUCCAUCGUGUCCCCAAAGACAUUAGUGUCCAAGAGCUGAAUAGCUACAAUGUUCCCUGCUACUUCUACUACACCGGCAAUGUUAGGCUACAAGCUAACAUGAAGAAGAGUGUGCAGAGCAGUGCUGUCUCCGCCCACGACUCAGAGGCGUAUUGCUAAUGAGCUUUCACAGACAUUUAAACUCGUUUGAGCUACAUGUAUCAAAAUGAGACUUAAAAGUUGUUCAAACCUCAACACUAUCUUUGUAAAGUCGUCAUGAAGUCGUAGUUUUGAUUAACAUUUAGCAGCCAGAUGCUAAUGUCUCUUUAAAUUUUAGAAACAAUGAUGCAUCUCAAAUGCGACCAUCAAGGACAGGAUUGACUCUUCCUAUAUUGUAAUAUUUAACAAAUGCUGUAUGCUAAAAAAACAGCCAUUGUUACGUUUCCCCUUUUAAAUGAUAAAGGAUAGGUGAAAUGCAGAAUCACAAGCAGUUGAAAAAAGUUCCUCUCACAUGGGCGGUGACGUGAAUAAAAAGUUCCUUAAUCUUGAUCCUGGGUUGAAAAUCUUAUAUUCUGACUCCUAAUACAGAGGAGAAGGCAGGUAUCCUUGAAAAACCUUUCUGAGCUUUUUAGAAACAGUUUGAGUUCUCCAAGUUUACAUUAUACCCUGCUAGUUUAGUUUGGUUUGGUUUGAGCCUAAUCCAAAACCGCUUGGUUUAUCCGCAAAUAAAAGCUGUGGACAGGUGUUUUACCAACUCUGCUUUGGUUUCUCAUACGUCACCAUUUAAUCAAACUGACAGAAACAAACAUACUUUCAUUUCCUGCUCUAAACACAAAAAGAGACUUCAGCUGGAAGAGGUUUACAUGACACAGGAGUUUGAUGUUGUUUCCCGUGUCUCAAGAGGGAGAUGGCAAAAACUUCAAACUCUUUCAUUUUCCAUCCUGUUCCCAAGAAUCCCACCAUCCUUUUAUUUGAAGAGAGUUCAGGUUGUCCACUCUUGAGAUGGAAAUAAACUCAUUAACUGAGUGUAAACUCAAAAAGCCACGCCAAACAAGGACACUUUAUCUCUCGACUUAAAGUGAAAUAUGAAGAAAAAAAGAUUUGCCCUUCUUCGUUCUGGUUUCUCUGAAUAUUUUGAAACUGGAUCUAUGUUUUGAGUCUAAACAUAACUCGUGCCAACAUGUCGCAUCGCCAUCGAGCAGUUCUCACGGGAACAUCUUCUUGUAACCCAAUCCAAACACCGCUGUGUUAAACAACGCCAACAAUAUCAUCGCUGAAUUUAUUUAUCAAUGCUACAGGAGGCCUGAAAUGAACUCUACCAGCAAUCCCUGGCAUCUAAAAGACACCUGCAUUUUCAUCAGUUAAAAUAAACAGGGUCAGGCCGGCUUCGUGCUUUUUCUCACCCACCAGGCGAGUCAUCGCUGUGCUGAGUGGCUGUAUGGGAAUCAUCUCUUUAGAAAAAGCUCUCAGGAGUUCACAUUUACAUUAAAACAUGGAAAUUUAUUCUGCCUGUGAUGAAGCCAUAUAAAGGAAUUCAAUGAUGGUGUUCUGCAAAGACCAAAAGUGGGUCAUGGGAUUAUGUGAAAGUAUUCCACAAACAAUUGUCUACUUAAUGCCGCAAAUCUUGACUGGCCUGCGGGAUUAUAUGAAGAAAGAAGGCACACAUUAUAAACAUGGGUGGGGAAAUAAAAUAUUUGAUCAAGAUGGAGCGGGCGGAUUUGCGGCGGAGUCGUAUUUCUUCAUUUCCAAGUCAGGAGGAGGCCAAAUGCAUUCAAAGCUCCUUGAAUGGGGCUCUACCUCUCCGCAGCCCCCUCACUCUAAUGCACAGCCAAGGUCAAAGGUCAUUAGCUCAUGUGUCACACCUUGACAGCUUCACUCUCCUGUUUCAGCAAUGAGAUACCUGGGCCACGUCCCUGUGGUCGUCCUCAAAUAUGAGCCGCAAUCAGCCUCAAGCUGUUUAGUCCAAAAAGCAAUCAGCCUGUCAGGACUCAAGGCGGGAGCUGAAGUUCAUCAGUGUGGCUGGCUGACAGUUAUUGACAGUUUGGGGUGACAAUGAUUGUAUUUUGAGACCGGUAUUAAGUUAGCACACACUUCUUUGAAUAUUAAUUGCAUUAAAAACAGAGCGGCUAUAUCCUGUGUCAAAUCAUUGCUUUAUCCUGUUUAUCCCCUCAUGCAUGACACCUCCGUUAUUUAUUAAGCCUUGAGUCAGAUUUUGAUCCCUUUCAUGUCAUUGUCAAGGAAAAACCUUGAUAAUGUCAUUGAAUAGUCAAGUUAGUCAAGGGGAUGGUCAAUAGUCGAGGCCAAAGAUAUAUAAAGAAGACUGGAUACAUCAGCGUGCAGUAGCAGCCCAUUAAGCAACUAGCCUACAUGGCAGCCAUCUUGGCGAGGGCAACAUUUCUAUUAAAGGCAAUGCAAGUAAAAUGAAAAUAAACCAUAACUUACUCAUUUCUCAAACUGUUUACAUGAUCUACAACGCCAAAACACGUGCUACUACUACGGAACAUUGUAUUAAACCUUUUUUUUUUUUUUACAUGCAUGGCCUUUAAUGUAAACAAUGCCCCCACUAGCUUUACCUCACCGUAGGCAUGCUGCUGAAAGGGGCAUGUCGUAUUUUUGUGGUCAUAUCUGUGGUUGAGGCAAUCACGCACCAAAUGGUGAAGUUCAAGAGUCACAAACAGCCAUCCAUUGGACAGGGCUGGUGGCCUAUGCGGAUGGGGUGCACAUUUCAACCCAAGCAAAGACGCCUUUGUCAUUCAAAAUUUAAUGUGAUGCUUAUAUUUAUUUUGACUUUACAAACUUCUGCGUAAGGAUACUGAAUCCAGCAACCUAACUUGACAAUUAAGAGUUCGUGUAUUGGCCAAGAACCUUUUCAAGAGCAAGGAAAUGAUCCAAAACAAUACGCAAUACUUCAUCAGCGGCCUAUAUCAGAUUCUAGUUUCUGCCAAGACCAGGGCCCCUGGAGAUAGUAGGGCACUUUUCCUAGAUUAUCAAGAAUGGUCCAAUACCUUGCCAAUGAGACCAGGUCAAUAUCAAACUGUGCAAUCAAGAUAAAACUAUUAUGAAGGUAGGGAAUCACAGACUGCUGAUGUUUUGCUAGCUUUUUAGAGGCUUAAAAAGGCCAAGACUGAAUCUCUUGGCACUCGUAUCCUUUCAAGUCCAAUUUUACUGAAAUGAAGAACAUUUUAGACGCCGCAGUAUCAGCAUUCUCCUCCAAUCACCAUUUAUUUGAUUUUGAUUUAGUUACUGUCUCCCUUCAAAUUGCUUUUGUUGGUAGGGGUAGGGGGGCGGAGGGAGGUCUGGAUUAAGCCUGCCCACAGGAUUACAGCACGCGUCAUGUAAUCCCCCCACAUUUUACAUGGAUCAAACUGAUAAACCCCAGUUAGCCUGUCACUCACAGAGAUGUCAACACCCCCACUGCCAUUGUCUGGCCGGCCCUGCAUAGACGCCACUUGACUGCAUAAUCUCCCUCUGGAGUCGAGGCUCCAUUGACUGUCUGACAAGGCGUAAUUAUUAGUUAUCAUCAGUGAUAAUACAUCAUUAUUUCUUCUACAUUUACUUGUCUAUUGCGAUGGGACUGUCAAAUUACCCUCAUUAGCUCUGCGUGGCUACUCUUAUGCAAAUGCCACUGCCCGUGCUUUUAUUGUGAAGGGCCAAAUGAAGAUAUUUGUAGGUUAUGUACACUGUUUAUGCCUAAAAAGUAAAGACAUGUGCACAGCUCUGCUAAAUGGACUUUUUAUUAGAAACAGUUUGAGUUUGUUUGGUUGCACUGUAAACAGACAACCACACCAGAUGCUACCCUGCUGUACUUUUGACAGAUUGAACACUCAGCGAGUCUUUCCUGUAUUUACAAACUGUUUCAAAGGUGUUGCCAAACCAGCCAGAAAUAAUCUUCUGAAUUUUUGAUUCAAAGAAUUUAAUCCUCAUCGGUUACAUGGAUCACUUUCCGUUUGUUGAUCCAAACCCUUCCAGCGACUCUAGCUUAGCAUUUCUGUGAGAUGCUUUGUGACAAGAGGGCCCCUGGCGAAGGGAUCUACAUAUGCCAAGAGCCACGCUUGAGUUGCUCCACAAGGUCAACGGUCCCACCAGCGAGUGCACAUGACAGGGACAAGCAGUUCAAGGACUCUCCACAGUGUCCGAGAAUAAAUGAAAAGCCUCGUCCCGUAUUCAGAGAGCCAGCAGGGACCAGCUGGGUCAAUAAUAUCGAGGAGAGGGAGAGCAGAGCUGUGAAGUCGAACAGAACGCGUUUUUUUAUGAUUCUGUGAAAAAUUGAGAGAGCCAUUGACUCGCUCCAAACCUUUUACAUUUCUAUCACUCCUGUUAUGACUUUGUUUGUCAUCUCCUGGGCCUUGAGUUCCCCUUGCACCUCAAUCUGUUAUACUGCAAGUGAGCUAUAAACAUAAACAGCAAGAGGAAGGACAGACAUAUGGAGGGCUGUGUUCUCACUGCAAAACACUGGAAGAUCGGAAGGGGAAAGGGUCACUUAGAUGAGGAAGUGCAAACCAUUGAAACAGGGUUCAUGAACUCAGGAGUGGAGUAUGUCAAAUGACUCCUUAAGAGCUUUGAUUAUAAGUUAUAUAAAUAUGUUCAAUGAAACCUCUUGUAAAUUAAAUCAAACUGUGAGCUCAUGGAAGGCACUUUUCCAAAGAAGGGAUGUAUGAGGGACUCCAUGUGUUUCCUACUGAGGUUCCUACUUAGUGAGACUGACAGGGAUUUCAGGGGUGGAGCUUCCACAGGUGCUUUUAGUGUUGGACUUGCUAUAAUUUGCAUCUUGGAUAAAUCAAGGUAUCAGAGGAUGCCUAAAGAAUACUCAUUUGUCUCAUCACGACAAACAUGGAAAUUUGUGAAAAUUUUUAUCUCUCAAAAACAUUUCCUCCUUAAGUUCCUUACACACCGGGAAUGACGCAAAUAUACGAUGUGAAUUUAUGAAAUAUUUAGAGGCGGAUUUUGAUGCGCCUUACUACACACAUAAAGCGCGAUGUGAUUUUGCGACUUUCCAGGGGGAAAAAAGACGCGUCCCGAGUGGAAGCGGAAAGACUGACACAACAGCAGACUGACUGUUUUUCAGUUCUGAUUAGACACUAAUGUUGAGAUGACUGUCUGUCAUGAUAGCAUGUACUGAGUGGGGGCCAGUUCCAGAUAAGCACAUUAAACUAUAAUCCAUAAACAUAAGGUAACAACCGAGACCUAAUGGUGCUGUGACAGCAACGCCAUUGAGUUUGAGACAGUGAAAAUACAUAUGGUAUGUUGUAUCUGAACAGGUUAGCUUACGAGCUAAAGUUACUUAGCACAGAUGAAAGUUAAAACAAAGAUGUUUAGCAAACUGUUAAAGCACACAAACCAUCGUCAUAUGAGAAAACCAACGCUAUGACUCUCCACAAGUUUCUUUGUAAUGUUUGUGUCUUUUAUCAAAGAGCACUCUGUUCUCCGACACGUAAACAAUCAGCCGGUCGGCCAUGUUAGAUAUACUGGUGAAUCUGAAGUUGCAACAACACGAAAUCUGAUUGGUCAAAAGUGGACAUACAGUAUGUGUAACUUUUGAAAAUUUGACUGUGAUACGAAAAAUAAGUGCCGCAAUAUCGCAGGAUGGUAAAACGCUGCUGAUGUGAACGCUUGUAAUGACAGAAUACGGGUUUGAAAAUGAUAUUGAUGUCCGAAAUAACAGCACAAAAAAACCUUUAGUCUCAAAGUUUUAAGUGUUUUUGAUAGUUAUACUUUAAUAUUUUGCACCAAAGCAUUUCGGACACUAUAAAUGGUACCUUCGCUGACUUCGCCAUACCAUCAUGAAUGCUGGGUUAGCAGGUUCCUCGCCGAUUUAGAGUUGCAUCCACAAUUUUCAAAAGGAGUGUCAUAUUUGGAUCAUUUUUGUAUGUUUUUAACUUUUUGCAUUGUACAGUUGUAUUCUGCAGCUGCGAUGUUCCAUGAUGCACCAAAUGUCAUGGUCUAGAGUUCAACAAUAAAGGGAAAGGACCCAAGAUGCAGAACAACAAAAAAAAGUAGUUAUGUCAAAAGAACAAAUUUAAAAAACAAACAAAAAGAGAAACAUCCACAAAAAAUUACCAGGGCAAAAUCACAGGGAGUAACUGGGGACACAGGCAUACCAACAAGGACAGAGGGGAAGACAGGGACUAUAUACACACUGGGUAACGAGCAACAGGUGAGGCAAACGAGACACAGGUGAAACUCGUUAGUGAUUAACGAAGGAGGGAAAACUAGGGAAGUAAAACUAGACUAGAAACACAAGGAAUCGACUACUAUGAAAUAAAAUGGGAAACACUAAAAACUAACCUAUACAAUAACACAGAGAACAGGAUGGAAACAGGGUCAAACACAAACUGAAAACUCACAAGACUGGACUACAGGGGAACAGGAACACGAGAGACAAUACAAAAAAUACACUCAAAUAAAAUCAGGUGAAGAAAACUAAAUAAACAGAACAUAUCAUGGCACCAAAUGCUUUCAGUAAGUGCCUGUUCCUGAAGAUAAUAGGCAAACAGAACUGGUCUCUUUUUCGAAAUGCGGUGAAUCUUACCACAAUAUUAUUACCUUAAACUGAUAAAUCACUUGAUUCCUUGACGAUAAAAAUGCAAUAUUUGUAAAUUGUAUAACUCUUAGGGAGAGCUUGUUUAACCACACAUUGCCACCCACCUUUAUUCCCUUAAAUCAGCCUCCUCUGCACCUCUGUUUAUCCUCAGGACUAAAACACGUACCUCACACCAACUUUCCCCCACUCGGCCCUAUUUAGAUAGCUGUGACAGCUUACCUGAGCUAUCUGGGCCGUGGUAAACGUUCCCGAGCCUCGUUUACUCAUUUGGCUCCAGUAAUCAUCACAAGGCGCUGGAGCCUCCUGCCUGAGAGAAAUUAUUUAUCCCAGCCUCGGCUAGGGAACAAACAGGACACGCUUGCCUGGAGCCCCUCUCCUACACUUAAGGCCUUUCAAACAUCACAUUCGGACUCUGCCCCAUCUGAUUAUGUCGUUCACUGCACGACUACCAGAUAAUACUCACAGAUAUCAAAUUAUGACACGCGUUUUCAGCAGGUUUUGCAAGUGAACCAAUUUCCUGAGGCUAGAAUGGUAUAUUGUUUUUAAAACAAUCGGUCUGAUUUGCCUCCUAUCUUGGACCAAAUGUUCCUUUGCCCUUGUUUUGAUUCCCCUAAUAAAUGUUUAAAUUGGAGCCAAGGCAAUUACUGCGAGCUUUCAACAAUAAUAACACCCCAGCUGUAUGAUUACUUAUGUCAAAUAAACACUUAAGCUACAAGGUUAUUGCUCCGAAACAAGAAAAAAAGGAAGCAGUCUCCUGACUCGACAUGAUUUCUUAUGUUUGCAUUUGUUCUGUUAGAAGUCUUAUGGUGCUUCAGCACAGAAAAUAGUGUCUAACAAAUCGUGACUGACAUUAAGUAGAGAAAAUGCUGUUUGUUGCUACAUCUGCUUAAGCAAAUUAAAACUGUACCAUGCAAGGAGAAAUCCCUAACUAUGACGUCUCUGGGCCGGAGUCCAUUUUAAAUUGAGGCUAAAUAGAAAACUGUCCUAUAGGCAGAUAAAUCACAUUUGCAAUUCUUAUGAGAAAUCAUGGACGCCCUAUUCUUCUCUCUAAAGAGAAGACUCACAACUCACAUUGUAAUGGCAAUGUCCCACUAUGUUGAUAGACUAUUGACUAUUAAACUAUUGAGAGUGGGCUAGCCUACAUUUUCACCUUUAUGAGUCGUGACUCCCAGUUAAACAUGCACUUGAGUCCGUGAGCGAGUGUGAGAGAGAAAACAGUAGCAGUUUUGCCUCUGCGAGUGAACUUCGGCUCACGAAAUCUAGCGUACAGGUAAGCAACACUGUCAUGAUUAGAAAAUAGUUUUAGGUCGGCAUCAGUCGAUGUGAGGACAUUAGUGUAGCAUUACCCUGGAUUGUAAUGAGUCUGCCACUGUGUAAAGUCUGUUUGCUGGCAUGACAACGCAGGGAGAUACAUGCUUUGUCGACACUUCUGACACCCACUGGAGAUACUUGUCGAAAAAUGAUGUCAUAAAAUGUCUUUCCAUCGGUCAUUUGGAUCCCCAAAACUACGGGUUGUUAGGGAAGAUUAUGAACCAUGCAUGUAUUGAAAAAAGUCCAGAUCACUAAAAGUGGAGGUAUGUCUUUUCAUCGGACAGCGACGAAAUGUCUGUGACCAACUUACUGAAAUUCCAGGCUGACGUACGAUUCACAGUUGGUGCUUAACAGCUCAUUGAAAUCUGACAAAUUAGAUCCUAAACUGUUAAACAACUGGAAUCUAAUAUCGGACAAGAAAGAGGCAACAUUUUACACUAAAAUCCAUAACUUGUACUAUUGUAAACACACUUCUGUUCCAACGAUGUUUAAACAUGUUGGCAGCAAAUCUAAAAUUUGCACCAAAAAUAAGAGUUCAAGUUUUUUGCCAUUUUUUUGUCAAAUUUCCAAUCAAAUUAAGAGAUUAAAUAAUUCACAAACUCUUGAAAUCUGCAACAUUUUACAUAGUGAACUACUUUUAUUGGUUUUGGGGUUGUACCAGAUACAUUUGUGUCAUCACAACUUGAAAAGUACAGGUAUGUAAAGGAUACUAGGGUUGAACUUAUAUGUGACAACUUCUGUCAUUGGGAAAAUCCUGCUCUGACCUUAAACCUACUCGCAUGACAGGUUGUGUUUUUCAAGCUUUAAGGGUGUGUGAAGUUCAAAGUAAGGACGAGUUUAAGGAGCUGAAAGGAGUCAGUAAAUAUACAGUAGGCUUCCCGUUUGUGUUGGUACACCUUUGAAAUACAAACAAAUGUGUAGGUGUAGCAGUUCUUUAGAAACCACAUUUGAAUAAUCGGAGUCGUAUUGUAGAGUAAUAUGUAAAGCAAUGGAGGUUUUUUUUCUUUUUUUUCCAAUGGCUUAUUUUUUAAAAUAACUCACCCGACACUCUUUACCAGGUAAACAACAUUUGCAUGAUGAUGUAUUCGACGAACACGCAAAUACAUGCACGCACCAGGUGACGAUGUGUGAAAAAAGAAAAAGAAAAAAAAAACUAUUUGAAUAGCAAAUAGGCUCUGCAGUUGUCAGUGCCUAGGGAGGAGGUGAUGUUUUGACAAGAGUGGAUAGGAGUGACAAGUGAGAGAAACACAAGGAGAAGACGGAGAGGAGGGUGAGAGAGGAAGCAAGGUGGCCACCAGCUGGGAGAGAAAAAGAGAGUCGGAUUGAGUAUGUAUGUGCAGAUGUAGAGGCAGAUGCAGAGGAGGUAGAGCAGAGGGGGGAAGACAGUUAAAUGCAUGUGUUUGGGCAUGGGAGCAAAGCAGGGAGGGAUAGAUAAAUGAGUGUUUCCAUGCAGGGGAGGAGAUGGGGAAAAAGAAAUACAAAAGGAAGAAUAAGCAUUGUGGGAUGAAAACAUAAAGAUAAUGAUAAAGGAGAAGAAAGAAAAAAGACGAAGAGACAAAGCCGGAGUCUGUUCGCUUUGUUUAUAGGUCCCAGAUGUCUGAAGGUAAUUGUGCUGAGGGAUUGCUGCGCAGACAUCUGGCUGCUGAAAGCUCAAUAUUCCCUCACACACAGACACACUCAAGUAAAUCCAUCAGAGAAGCUUCGCCAUAAUCCCAUUGGGUGCGUCGCUUGAAGCAUGUAACCUGGGUUAAUUUAAAUUACUUCAGGUUUUCCUCUUUGAUGGAGUCCACCAAAUGAAUAGGAGUCUUUAGAGAGUUGGACAGAAAUCCCCCCUUAAAUUUGACCUUUAAUUUGACAGGGCUGGACUUUUUGGUUCGACUUUGAUAUAAAUUUUCUUUAAUAUUCUCUCAUCAGUAGAAACUAUAUUAUACUAUUACUUCACACUGAAGUGAAAAAGAAGCUUGAACUCCACCCGACAUUGUGAAUUUUAACUUUCCUGCCAAAUAUCCGUCAAAUAUCCAUUUUUCCUGCUUUGUAACUGAAAAAGUUCCACUAUUUUCCCUCCUGGAGACACCUUUCUCUACCAACUCAGGUGGACUUGGAUUCUGCUCAUGAUGCUGAAACUGUUUGAUGCACUCGCCAUGUUUUUUUUUUUUGUCCGACUGAAUCUCUUGAACAUUUGCACCGACGCCCGAAGUCCAACUCGAGGAGCCAGUCUGCAUCUCUUUCAAUUCAAAUCCAUCGCCUUUCAAGUCUGCCAGUUCCUGUGUUCCUUUUGGGAGGUGACGUUUGAAUCCAAUUGGCAGAACACCUUUGAAACCAUCUGAAAUGCUGGUAUUAUGCUUUACGAACUGUCAUUGCAGCAAGGUCGCAACUUAUUCAGCCGCCGCCUUUGAAAAUGCCACAAAAGCUGUGCUAAGGUCAUCCAGCUGACACAUGCUAGUCUCCAGACUUUGUUUGGUUCAACCAUAAGCACUGUACACAAUACUAAGCCUAAAAAAGCUGGGAUGCUGAAAAAAAAUAUUGACAAAAACAGAAAAUAAUGAUCUACAAAUCCGUGGAUUUCUCUGGGCCGGAGCCUUUUUAGAAAUCAGGCAAAAGUGAAACCUGUCCUGGAGUCAGUCAGACAAAUCAGAGUAUGGCUGUGUCCAUCACUCAAUCCCUAACCCCCAUAUGGGGUUUCACUAUAUAGCUGACUAUGUAGUGAGCUCAAUCACCGGAGGUUUUGGACACUACAUGGCGCACCGUUGUGACGUCACUGCUCAGACUGCCGUGUCUAGUUAGAAUUGAUCACUCAGGUUUCAGACGCUCCUCAAAAUGGCGCUAACCCCCAUAUCAUCGCCUAUAUAGGGGUUAGGGAUCCAUUUCGGACACAGCCUAUGACAUCCUCUUUGGAAAUCAUGGACGCUGCAUUAUCCAAUCCUCAGCUUGUUUUUAUUACCAGCAAAAGGUUAAGAGAAUAUUAUGAAAACUAACCCUGAAUGGCAGUGAUUUUGUGUCCCUCAGGCAACACUGUAUUAAAAAUAGACAUGACUCUGUAGUGGAAGUUGCUGCAUGGGCUCAAAACGGCCUUGAAAAAAAACCUUGACAGUCUUUUUGGAAAUCAUGGAUGCCACAUUCUGCUCUAUUCGGACAGGGACAGCAACAUAUCCCAUUUAAUAAGGUUAAUUUGCAGUAUAGUGACUAGACUGAGUGUAAAACAGGCAUUCUAACAUCUAGAGACAGGUUUACCACUCAGUGAGAGACUGCGUGAGCAAACAGUUAAAAGGAAUUGAAAGUUGUUGUUUUCUUGUAUUAUCAUUUUUGUUAUUAUUUUUGUUUUUAGUGCUGUUGUUGUUAUUAUUAUUAUUAUUAUUAGUUAUUAUCAUUUUUGUUGUUAUUAUUGUUGUUUUUAGUGUUGUUGUUGAUGUUAUUUUUAUCACUAUUAUUAUUAUCGUUGUUUUUAGUUUAUUAUUAUUAUUAUUAUUAUUAUUAUUAAUUUUAUUUUGUAUUAUUUUUGUUAUUAUCUGUGGUAGUUAAUAUCAUAUAAAAUAUUCAGGAAUUCUUAAGGAAAACAAAAGUGACAAAGCCCAGCAGUGAUGCUACAUUAAAAUUAGACAUGGCUCUGUAGUGGAAAUCCCUGCAUGUGCUUAAAACAACUUAAAAAAUACACAUUUAUUGACAUUCUUUUUGGAAAUCAUGGACAUUGCAGCUCUUCAUUGCUGGAGAAUAAAUAUACAAGUGUUAGAGCAACAUAUGAUGCCGAAUAGACAGAGUUGGCGAAGCCGAGGGUUAACCAAAGCUGGCAUUAAAUAUGAAAUGAGCCCAUACUUUUAUGCAAAAAGUUUCAGCAUUUGAUCUGUUGUCUUACUUUGUCCCAACUUCUCCUAACAUAAGGUUAUGACAGGCUGAAUUAGUAGGGUGUCUAAAUUCCACUCAAGUGUAGGGUAAUUACUGCUUUCAAAGGUCAAAUUGUCUGAGAUUGCUCUCAUAUUCUUGAUCAUUUCUCCCAUCAAGGAAGAUGUGGGUGAUUCAUCUGUUUAGUUUACGGACUAGUUUGCAUUUUAUUAUCUAACCCGCCUACAUCUGCCUUCAGAAAAACCUUAGACCUCUUCAUAUUUAAAAAUACCACUGGAUCCCAGCAAACAGGCUGUUACUCAUAUUACUCUAUCUUUGUUCAAUUGAACUAAAAUAGCUCUUCUUGAACACUUAGAGGGAGUUCGUCUUAGGAACAGCCGUUGUGACGCGGGUUAUUUCCAUGCUGAGAAAACACGCACUUUAGGGAGAUUCUGCCAAGGCAUUUUGGCAGGGACUUCAGAGAAAUUAGAACCGGCCUUCCGGGCUGCAUUUUAAAACCAAUGCCUUUAAGGAAGUAGGUACAAAGUGAUACUAGCUAGAGGCUGCUAAACAAAAAAGCAGUCUGUUAGGCAGCAGAAUGCCAUGUAAAGCUUCCCAGGAAGCCAAGCUAGAAGAGGUAGCUGCCAGACAAUACCAGAUGUCUGACAGGAAGUAGAGCCAUACAGGGGCAGUCUGUCAGGCAGUUAGAUAUGAAUUUAGCCUCCCAGGCAGUCAGGAAUACCAGAUUGCCUUUAGAGUGCCAUAUGCUUGACAGCAAAGCAAACCACAACAGGGACAGGUUAUUAAGUUAUCUCGUAUUUCCUGGCUUUCUGUCUCUGCUAAGUGGCCGGUGUUUUUUUGCUUUAUUUUGGUGUGACCUCUAGGCUGCUUUGAGAGGAUUUUUCUCUCUCAACAUCCAUCAACAAUAUUUAGGUUAUAAACAUUUCUUGUGCUCAGAAGCUUUUAAGUCUUAAAGUAGAGAUAAAAAAAUGUUUACAGCUCAAAUAGGGAGUUUUUGACGUUGACGAAAUCGACUGAAACUCAUAAUGAUGCCUUUUCAUGACAUCCAAGACCAAAAGAGAGAGGAUUUACGUUUUUUAAGAAGUGCUUUAUGGGUUUUGAGUAGGGCCUAACUGAUACGGAUUUUUGGGGGCAGAUGCCGAUACCGAUUGUUAGGGAGGGAAAAAAAUCAGAUUACCGAUUAAUCAGACGAAUUUUUUAUGAAGUUAUAAAAAAUAUAUAUAUAUACUUGACUUAUUCUACCGUUACUGGCACGGCUAACAGUGUAGCUAGGCUAAUAGCAAAUGGCUAACUCUAACUUUAGCUUGGCUAUUACGUGGUGCUUCACCGUUAACUCGGCGUGACCGAGACCAGCACAGCGGGGAACAUCGUGAAGUGGGUUAAACUGAAACUUGUUGACUUAUUGUGUAUUUCACAAACUGGUUUAUUUACCGUUGAGGCGGACCACUCUCCUCCGUGCGUCCCGGAGAGGCCUGCUGCAGAUCCGUCACUCUGCUGUGCUGUGAGGUAGUUAGUGGAUGAAGAUUGUCAUGAGGUCGCUGCGCCAUCUACAGGAUAAGUCGGGGAACUUUUCAAAUGGUGGGACGUUUCAAGUUUUGGCAGAUUACCGAUUAGUCUCAAAUGGGCUACAAUUGGCCUAUUGAAUCCGAUUGCCGAUAAAUCGGUUGGGCCCUAGUUUUGAGGCAAUGAUAUGUGCAGAUAGGCCUGUUCUCAAGAUGUUAUCUCUAUAAUUUGUCUAUAAUCCGGUGAUAGACGUUGGAUUUAAGAGCAGUUUCAUAGUAAUUCAGUCUCUCUUGGACUUUUUAACAAAACUAAAGAGCAGCUCGGUUGAAAAGGUUGUGAAAAGGUUGUUACUUUUUAAAAUAUAAAUGCCACGUGAGAAUAGUACUUUCUCUCUGCAUACAGACUAAUGAGGCCCGGUGUCUUUACUCUCCUUGGACCUUGAAACCACGGUUAGCCGUGACACACUGGUCCGUUAUGUUUCCCCUCACUUUUCCGUUUUCUUGUGUCUGUUCCUCCGACUUAAAAUGCGAGAAAGUGAUGCAAGGAAAUGUAAAUAGAGCAGGUGAAAGGACUGCUGCCUGUGAUAGCAGAAUUUAGAUUGACUUUCCUAGUAUCACAUUUGUGUCUGCUGAUGCGCCGCAGUAAAAAAAAAAAAAAAAAAAAGAAAGAUUUCUGACUUGAUGGCAAUCCUUUUUAGCUGAGACUGCCAAUCUCCUGACAUUUUCCUUUUGUCGCUUACUUUUUCCGUUGAGUGCCAUUUUCAAACCACCUCUCUUUGACGGACUGGACAUCACAGACAGCUUCCAGACUGUCAGGAUUCGGAGCUAAAUAACCCAUCAGAUGAGUAAAGUGGCUUCUUUUCAGUGGUUCCAUACUAAUCCGUCUCCCUCUGUAACUGCAUCUCAUAGACUCUUUGGAUGAAGUUUCUCAGACUUUUUACAAAUGGCAAAAAAUAGUUCUCUGGGAAAGGACGCAUAGGAACUGUAUUUAACAUCUUAGCAAUGCGUCCAUGCUAUUCAGCCCAGCAUGUGAAUACCGGAGCAUAUGCAGAACCAUAGACUGCGUAUAGAAUGGACAACGUGACUCCGCCUCCCAUCAUCAGAGUCGCUGUUGAGCGUACCCUCUGAAUGUCCUAUGCAAGCUUCAUAUUACCAUUGACUCUAUGCAGGUCUCAGUCAUAGAAAAUAUGAUGUAAUUUCCUGUUUUUAUAAACCCCAAUUACUUUUAAAAAAAUGAUAAAAAAGAGGAUUUGAGUACAAACCAGUCCAACAAUAGCUAGAAGUCAACAUCACAACCAGGGGGAAGGAAAAAUGUAUAUGAAUUUUAUUUAAAGGAAUAUUCCGGCAUAAUAUUAAGUUAGGGUCAAACACACCGUAAUACCGAGUUAGACACCCUCGAGUCAUACCAACUUUAGUAAAGGAAGCAAUACAGAGAGCCAUGCGCUCAACCAAAACGCCACUCUAUAGCCACAAAUAAUGCUAAGAACAGCACCUAACUUCAUCAACGGUACAUAUAGGGUCCCACCCGCAGCACUAGCCAACAACAUCUUUUUAACUUUCCCUAAUUUCUUUAGCAAAGAGACUAAACACAACUCACCCUCUCUCUUCUAACAGCCGAUUGAUUAUAUGAACACCUCAAGGCAAGUCCAUCGACUGCAGCGGGGGUGACGCAGCUCAAGGAAGAACAUUUAUGAUAAUUACUCUUUCAUUUUCUUAAAGUAAUAGUCAUCAUGUUAAUCAUUUUGCACUGCAGACACAGUAGAUCUUCUGCCUUAGCGUCUCAGUCUGAUUGCUUUUUCCAUGAGGAAAUGAUCAUACAUGUUCUUCCUUGAGCUGCAUCCCCCUGUACAAACAAGAUGCUGCUGGAAGAGAGUAGGUGAGUUGUGUUUAAUAUCUUUGCUAAAGAAAUUAGGCAAAGUUAAAGAGAUGUUUGGUGGCUAGUGCUGUGGCUGGGACCCUAUAUGUACUGUUGAUGAAGUUAGGUGCUGUUCUGAGCAUUAUUUGUGGCUAUAGAGUGGCGUUUUGGUUGAGUGCGUGGCUCUCUGUAUUGCUUUCUUUACUAAAGUUGGUAUGACUAGAGCAGUGGUUCUUAACCGGGGUUCUAUCGAACCCUAGGGGUUCGGUGAGUCGGUCUCAGGGGUUCGGUGGAGCCUCCGCCACGGUAGCCUGGCUGGGCCAUCCUGUUGCGUGAAUCACUUGAUGUUCCUUCCCACCACAGUCUGGACUUCGGCCCAUAGAGAGCGUGUAUUCCCGAUCAGAAAAUAACCGGGCCAAUCAGAGACCGUGUUUCCACUGUUACCCGGACAACAGGGAAAGGCAGCCCCUGAUUGGUCCAUGCGUAGUGGUGACGUCUAACACAUGCUGCGGGACUUUUCAAAGCCCCGUUCAUUCAGAACGCCGUUAAUUCUGCAGUUGACUCUACAAAGUCGGCAGAAAUUGUUUAAAUCCGACGUCUUCUGCUGAUAUAAACGAUUUUUCAGUUGGAAAAGUACCAAAUUAUUGCUAAGAAAGCCCUGGAAUUUUUUAUACCAUUUGUUACAACAUAUCUCUGCAAACAAUCUUUUUCGAGGAUGCUGGACAUAAAAACAAAGAAAAGGAACAGACUUUGCUGUGAAAAUGACAUGAGAGUAGCACUUGCCAAGGUGAAGCCACGCAUAUCUGAACUGGUCUCUCAAAAGCAACAGCAGAAGUCACACUGAUUUGCAGGUAUGUAAUUUGUUGUGAGUUCAUGCACUGUGUUGGUUUUGUUCUUUGAUCAAGAUGAUGUUCAUGCACGGUUCAUUUUGUGUACCAGUAAAAAAUCAUAUACCUAUGUCUUGAAUUUGGAAAAAAAUCACAUUUGAUUUAUCACUAAAGAAGGGUUCGGUGAAUGUGCAUAUGAAACUGGUGGGUUCGGUACCUCAAACAGGGUUAAGAACCACUGGACUAGAGAAGCAAGCGGUCAACAACAUUCAUCUCUCGACGGGGUGUCUAACUCGGUGUUAUAGUGUGUUUGACCCUAAUUUAAUUUUAUGCUGGAAUAUCCCUUUAAAGCAGGGUUUGUGACCUAUACUGCAACCAGUCACCAGGGGUUGCUGCUCUCUAUGACACAGAAAAUCAAGAGACUAAUGUGACGGACGAAUAUGCUAACACGCAUUUCAAAAGUUCAGUUUUAACCAGUCGAUUGAAAAUAACAGUUUUUUUUUAGCUGCCUUUAAAUUAAUGCUAAAUUUGCAUUUCUAUUGCUGAUGCGUAGAUCUGUUUGGUAGCAGUUGCACUUCUGUAUGCAGCUUAUUAUUUAAUUCAAUCAGCCACUUUGUGAUUCGCCACUUUUUAAUGAAUAGUACUGGCUGUCUUAUGUAAGCAGGGCGUCUUCCUUCCCUUCUGAUCUUCGCCUAAUUUCUUCUCCACACAGUCAAACAGAAUUGAUGUAAACUUCACAGUGAGCAGGUUUCCUAAUUGUUAAUGAGGUUUAUUUUCAGUUAAUUUAUUGUUUCAGAUGCUUAAUGAGACUCCCAGCUUUGAGAUAUGCAUUUCUUCUAUUUCCAGCCAAUUCACAGAGGUUUUUUACAACACCUUAGCCGUCUCAUUUCUCUGUUUCCUUCUCGCAUCCGUGCUCUUAUUUAAAAACAUGAGUGCGCACACUGGGAAACAAUGUCGUUUUUAGAUGCCUGCAGAGAAAAGCUCUUGUGACGCCGGUGUAACAGGGCGGCGUGUCCCCGAGGAAAGUAAUGGCCUGCCCCGGAAAGUCAAAGAAAAGAAGCACGAACGCACACAGAGAAGCAAGAAAGGGGAUUUAAAAAUUAAUUACUUUCUACCUUAUCUUUGCACAUACAUAUUCAACUGGGAGAGAUGAUAUCGGGUUUAUUGUAAGGUUGGAAAAACACACUGUAUCUUGUUCUUGUUCGAAUCCUUGCUGGGAUAGUCGUAGGAGAAGAAAAUUGAGUUAUUGAGCACAGAUAUUUGAAUCAGCUCGAAAAUUUGAGCGGGGGUGAACCUGAAAAUGAUUGGCACUGACAAGACAUCAUCCCUCCGCUCAAAAACACAACAGGGGAAUGAAACAAUUUCCCGCAACAACACAUACAAGCGAUUCUAUUUACUUUCAUGUUCGACAUAAAUUAUUCAGAUUCCCGGGGCUUGUCGGAUACUCUGAGCUGAUGCAUGGACACGUGCAUCAACACUAUUAACACUCCGCUUCCACCUGAGCUACAGAGAGAUUACGAGGGAAGACACGCUCCUGAAAUAUUCAAUGUAUUCUUCCUUUUGUUCCCCGCGUCAGCGUUAUAGGAAACGACGCGGCGCGCACCGCCGGUCAGGCGGGUGGUCGCUCCGCCGAUCCAUCGGCCUUCCCGAGGAGUCGUGACUAAACUGGAAGAAACAGUGGAGGAAGACAAACGCUCCCUCCCACCUCCCGUAACCCCGCUGCUCAGCCCCCGAAAGGUACACAGUGUGAAUAAGUCUUAAAAUGGAUUAUUCACAGUGGACCUGGGAGCGCUUAAAGUUUGAGUGGAAAAACAAAAUUAUGUACUUCCUUUGAUCUGAGGCACAUUUAGCGAGGAAAAAUAGCGGGAUGUGUCACCCGAAAUGUAUUUUUACAUUACAGUUGGUUGCUGCUCCCUUGCAUGAUCAAGCGGCCACAUCAAAGGGAAUACAGAAGGCUUUUGAACUCCUUUUUCUCUGUUGGUUGCUAUUUUCUGGUCCUCACUGCAUAUCAUCCUAAUUUUAACAUAUAAAGACAGAAAAUUAACCCUUUCAGCUCCGAAAGUGGAAGUUUCUUUUCUCUUUUAACGUCUUCCUCUCCUUUCUUUUUCCCUCUCCCCCUUCCUCGCUCUUGAUCACUGGAGCAGGAAAUAGAUCCCACAGAAGCCGUGAUGUAACCGAGUUAUCUAAUAGCCAAUUGAAACGCGUCCAAUUUACAUCAAGCCCAACUUGAUGUAAAUGACCUUCCAUAAAGCACGCUCGCCGCCGUCAAACACCCUGUUAGUAGUGGGGGGGGAAAAAACACCCGCAAUCAGCCUCGCUUUCCGCCGUGUCACAUCGAUAUGGCUCGCUAUGUGAACACGUCUGAUAGGAUGAUACACACAUACACAUUUACAUACACAUUUCUGACCACUCAGACCGAGGUGGCGAGACACUCCACGCGGCCAAGGGCUUUUGGAUCCUUCUGGGAUGGCCCGGGAAAUACUGUCAUUGACUUUGUGUGUGUGAGCGCGCUUGCACGUGUGUCCUUAACUUGUGUUACUUUUUAGCGACAGUGGCUUGAGGACCAUUAGGGAUAUAACCCGUGGCAGCCAUGUAGCAGCACAAGGUCAUUAUAUCCAAAAAUGCAGCCGUAAUGAUAGCUGCAUGUACAGUAGAAGAAGAGAGGGUUGCCUGGUAGUAAUGAGCUCUUUUAGAGUGUUAUUUCACUACCGCCGGAGCUUUUCUCAACCCCCACCUUUUCCCUUUUUUCCAAAGCCAGGGAUCCUGAGUCAUUAGCGCUCAGCCUCCGAUGAAAGUUCAACGCAGUUCAGGCCGAUAAUUUUUUGAUUCGGAUGAAAGCGGCACGCCAGCAGAGGGGUCUUUUUCUCGACGACCCUCCAUGCGUGCGCUUAAAAGGAAAAGAAAGCAAAGGGAAUGGACCUCCGGGGCAGCUGCCGGCAUUGUUAGAAAAAAAAGGAGCAAAAGAAGAGAUGCGUAUCUUUCUGCAGAAAUUGAAAAAGACUGCUGUGUUUUCAGAUGACGUCGAGGACUCACCCUCCAUCUCUAGCAUGUAGGAAAUGAAAGAAUGGACCUCAAAUGGGCAGCUUCAGGUACCACUGUGAAAUAAAACCUUUAACAGCCAAAAGUCGAGGAAACUUCAUAAGAAUCCAAGUGGACAAGCCAGAUUUUGCACAAGAAUUCAAGACAUUAGCGUUUGCAUGAUUGGGAAAUAAAGUGAGUAUUCCUGGUGAUGGUUGUACUGGCAUUAGCAUCAUGACAUUUAAACCCCAGAGAGACCUCCUGAUGAAGUAGUUUUGCAGGGUCAAGUGUAAACUCUGGGUAAAACCAUAGACUUUAUAUACUAUGGACAACUUGGUUCCACGUUUUGCCAGAUUUAAAGGCGAAAAGCUCUUGGGAAUUCCGCAUUUUUCUCCACUCGCUGUGAUGACGCUCGCCUCAAACAGUGUAGCCCCCGGGUGAGCUACGCAAUCCUUGUACGCCCCUUGGCUGUAUCUGGUGUCAAUCACAGAAAACUUGAACCCCCUAAUAACUUUUGAAAACGGAGCUGUACAGAAAAAAAGAGGACCUGAGCACAAAAACCAAUCUUACAAGAACUACAUGUCAACAUCGCAACAUCGGAUUUAUAACCUAUACUGCAGCCCGUCACCAGAGGUUGCUGUUCUCGGAGUGGCUUCACCCAUCGAAGAGGCAGACUCUGUCCAUUCUAUAUGCAGCCUAUGGGUAAAACUAGCAGAUUAAGUAACUACAGGUUCAAUCCAACAAAUUGGAAAAUCUUGAAAAAGUCCAGCGUUUUCCACCAGCCAAGGUGGAAGACUGCUGACUCAAUAGUCGUCCAGAAAUAGUCAUGGAAACCCUCCACAAGGAGAGUAAGCCAAAGAAGGUCAUUGCUGAGUGCUGCGUUGAAGCAUUUUCAUGUUAAAUUGACUGGAAGGGAAACGUGUGGGAGGAAAAGGUGCACAAGUAACAGCCUUGGUAGGAUCAUCAGGAACAGUCGAUUCAGUGAGCUUCAUGACUGAGGCUGGAGUUAGAAGGUCAUGAACAGAGAAAACAAAUGGAAGUACAUUUUGCUUGAAACUUGGAAACCAAGGAGUCAAGAAUAAAGGUCCUUACACACCGGAAGCGUUUUUUUGGUGCCAUUAUUUCGGACGUCAAUAUUUUUUUCGAACCCGUAUCCUGUCAAUGUGUCAAGUGUUCACAUCGGCAACGUUUUCCCGUCCUGGGAUAUUGCAACAUUUUAUUUUUCAUUUCACGGUUGAUUUUUCUUAAGUUUUGCAUGCUGUGUGUCCACUUCUGACCAAUCAGAUUGCAUGUUGAUGCGACGUCAGAUUCACCAGUAUAUCCAACAUGGCCGACUGGCUGAUUGUUUACGUGUCGCAGAACAGAGUGCUUUUUGAUUAAAGACACAAAUAUUACAAGGAUAAUGACAACUUGUGGAGAGUCAUAGCGUCGGAUUUCUCAUAUGACGAUGGUUUGUGUGCUUUAACAGUUUGCUAAACGUCUUUGUUUUUACUUUCAUCUGUGCUAAGUAACUUUAGCUCGUAAGCUAACCUGUUCAGAUACAACAUACCAUAUGUAUUUUCACUGUCUCAAACUCAAUUGCGUUGCUGUCACAGCAUCAUUAGGUCUCGGUUGUUACCUUACGUUUAUGGAUUAUAGUUUAAUGUGCUUAUCUGGUACUG
rnacentral:lncRNA from 1 species